rnacentral:lncRNA from 1 species
CCUAGAUCAGGGCAGGAGUAGCUUCGUCCCAGAGAUGACUUAGAGACAGGUGCUAGGGAAUUGCACUGAGUCCGCCACUGGCGGAUAGGGGGCCUGGGGCUGACAGAUGUAAUUUUCUCAGUAGCCCUGGACUGCUCAGCCUCCGAGAUGGCAAUCUUCAAUUCUAAUUUCAUGGGAGGUGAAGGGGGUGGAGGCUGUGGUGUUUUGUUAGGUGUGAAGAAGAUAUCAGCAAAGCUUUCAAGCUUUGAUCGGACGGAACGGAAGAGAGGGGCCAAGCCCCAGGGACUGAGACGGGGUCGUAAAAGGCUUGACGAUGUUGGAAUCACCGGGGUCUCCAGAGCAGGAUCUGCAGUUGGAGAAAGGACGCUCAAUCUGUCUCUAGAGGAGUGAGCCUGCUCCUAAAAUGCUGUAAUAGGAUUGCCUAAUGCCAUAAGCCCUGGAUUUGAUCCCCAGUACUGCAAAGCAAGGCCAUAACUGCUCAACUCCUUGAGCCUAAAUCCCAUUGUUACACAGCCUGCUCUGCCAAGGGAGCCGGCUAAGCUCCACCCACAGUUCUGCUCCUCCUGUUUCAAGCUUAACCGUGGCAGUUCCAAAUUCUUCAGUCUCAUUCCUCUAUUUGAGUCCUUACCUGGUACUGGACUCUCUGGAGGAUCUGCAGGUAGAGUAGACAGUUGGAAUGGGGGUUCUAGGUCACUGGGUGUAGGCAUUGGCUGACCAGCUUUUGUCACAGGCUCAGCUCUCGGGUGAAGGGACAAAGUAAGAGUUGGGCGUGCUUCCAAGUCCAGACCCCUUCUGUGGCAGUGCUUCCCCGGGCCCUUCAGGCUUCUGAAGGUGCUGUAAGGAAGGAUUAGACAGGUUCUAGAGAAAUAGAAAAAUGGUAAAAGACAGUACCAUUUUUCUCAUGUCUGCCUUGUGGCCAAAGACACUACCAGCAUGCUUCCGAACAAGAGAACAGAGAAGUGACAAUUUUGGAUUUUUGGGUUUUUUUUUUCUUUCUUUCUUUUUUUGGGUUUUUUUUUUGGGGGGGGGUUGUUUGUUUGUUUUCUGAGACAGGGAUUCUCUGUGUAGCUCUGGCUGUCCUGGAACUCACU